CCUACGGGUGGCAGCAGUGAGGAAAAUUGGUCAAUGGGCGGAAGCCUGAACCAGCCAAGUAGCGUGCAGGAUGACGGCCCUACGGGUUGUAAACUGCUUUUAUACGGGAAUAACGCGCCUUACGUGUAGGGCUUUGCAUGUACCGUAUGAAUAAGGACCGGCUAAUUCCGUGCCAGCAGCCGCGGUAAUACGGAGGGUCCGGGCGUUUUCCGGAUUUAGUGGGUUUAAAGGGAGCGUAGGCCGCAUGUCAAGCGUGCUGUGAAAUGUCCGGGCUCAACCCGGGCCUUGCAGCGCGAACUGGCGGGCUUGAGUCCGCGGAAAGCAGGCGGAAUUCGUGGUGUAGCGGUGAAAUGCUGAGAUAUGACGAAGAACCCCGAUUGCGAAGGCAGCUUGCUGCAGCGGAACUGACGCUGAUGCUCGAAAGCGCGGGUAUCGAACAGGAUUAGAUACCCUUGUAGUC
rnacentral:rRNA from 1 species